UCAGCGUGGCUACUUUGCCACCUGGUGGAUGGCUCGGCUCGAGUGCCGACGAAGGACGUGCCAAGCUGCGAAAAGCUGCAGGGACCCGCACGGAGGGAAAGAACUGCAGAUCUCCUAAUAGGAAUCCUCUCGCAAUUGCCUUGCGCAAUGGGGAACGCCGGGAAUUGAAACAUCUCAGUACCGGCAGGAAGAGAAAGCAAUCCGCGAUGUCGUUAGUAACGGCGAGUAAACGCGACACAGUCCAAACCGAAGCCCUCACGGGCAAUGUGGUGUUCGGACUGACUCUCACUGCUCGACCGUCUGCAUGAAGUCUCUUGGAACAGAGCACGAUACAGGGUGACAGUCCCGUAAUCCAGACCAGUACAGCACGCGUCAGCUCCAGAGUAGCGGGGGUUGGAUAUCCCUCGUGAAUAUGGCAGGCAUCAACUGCUAAGACUAAAUACUACUCGAGACCGAUAGUGAACAAGUAGCGUGAGCGAACACUGAAAAGCACCCCGAAAAGGGAGGUGCAAUAGGGCCUGAAAUCAGGUGGCGAUAGAGCGACGUGGCACAAAAGGUCCUGUGAAAAACGACCCGCCCGCAAGGGCACAGUAGGAAUCACAGGAAGCCGGUGUCGCGUCGUGCGUUUUGAAAAACGAGCCAGGGAGUGUAUCUGAUCGACGAGUCUAACCCGUUAACCGGGGAAGGCGUAGGGAAACCGACAGGGCCGCAGUAUUACCAGGGCCGCCGUGUUCAAGCGCGGGGAGUCGACCGGAUACGACCCGAAACCAGGCGAUCUAUGCGUGGGCAAGGCGAAGCGUGCCGAAAGGCACGUGGAGGCCUGUUAGAGUUGGUGUCCUUCAAUACCCUCUCGUGACCUACGUAUAGGGGUGAAAGGCCCAUCGAGCCUGGCAACAGCUGGUUCCAGCCGAAACAUGUCGAAGCAUGACCUCUGCUAAGGUAGUUCGUGGGGUAGAGCGACCGAUUGGGAGACUCGCCAUCGAGAGAUGUCGACCUCCCUGUCAAACUCCAAACCUACGAACGCCAUCGAUGCAGGGAGUCCGGUGUGCGGGGUAAGCCUGUGCACCAUGAGGGAGACAACCCAGAGUCGGGUUAAGGACCCAAAAUGCGGACUAAGUGCGAUUGAAGGUGGUCUCAAGCCCUAAACAGCCGGGAGGUGAGCUUAGAAGCAGCUACCCUCUAAGAAAAGCGUAACAGCUUACCGGCCGAGGUUUGAGGCGCCGAAAAUGAUCGGGGCUCAAGUCCGCUUCCGAGACCUGACGAUGCUCUUGACCGAGCAAUUCCGUAGGCUGGCGCUCUGAUCGGGUGGAAGCACGGGUGAGAACUCGUGUGGACCGAUCAGUGACGAAAAUCCUGGCCAUAGUAGCAGCGUUAGUCGGGUGAGAACCCCGACGGCCGAACGAGCAAGGGUUCCUCGACAAUGCCAAUCAGUCGAGGGUUAGCCGAUCCUAAGUCACACCGUAAUUCGAAUGUGACAACAGGGAAACUGGUUAAUAUUCCAGUGCUCUCAUACACUCAAAGUUGACGCUUUGGGGACAGUCGAGCUGGGCCUUCGCCCAGUCGAAUCGUGGAAAUCCGUGGAAGCCGUAAUGGCACGAAGCGGACGAAUCACGAGAUAGCGUAAGUCGACCGUACCUAGAGCCCGUGAAAAGACGAGUAUGAGAUUCGUACCAAGAACCGACACAGGUGCUCGUGGCAGUGAAAGCCAAGGCCUGUCGGGAACAACCGACGUUAGGGAAUUCGGCAAGUUAGUCCCGUAAGUUCGCGAUAAGGGAUGCCUGCCCUGUAUAGGGGCAGGUCGCAGUGACUCGGACGCUCCGACUGUCUAGUAACAACAUAGGUGACCGCAAAUCCGCAAGGACUCGUACGGUCACUGAAUCCUGCCCAGUGCGGGUAUCUGAACACCUAGUACAAUAGGACGAAGGACCCGUCAACGGCGGGGGUAACUAUGACCCUCUUAAGGUAGCGUAGUACCUUGCCGCUUCAGUAGCGGCUUGCAUGAAUGGAUCAACGAGAGCGUCACUGUCCCAACGUUGGGCCCGGUGAACUGUACGUUCCAGUGCGGAGUCUGGAGACCCCCAAGGGGAAGCGAAGACCCUAUAGAGCUUUACUGCAGGCUGUCGCUGGGACACGGUCGCUAAUGUGCAGGAUAGGUAGGAGUCAUUACACAGGUACCCGCGCUAGCGGGCCACCGAGACAUCACUGAAAUACUACCCAUUAGUGACUGUGACCCUCACUCCGGGAGGAGGACACCGGUAGCCGGGCAGUUUGACUGGGGCGGUACGCGCUUGAAAAGAUAUCGAGCGCGCCCUAAGUCCAUCUCAUCCGAGUCGGAGACUCGGAGAAGAGCGCAAGAGCAUAAGAUGGGCUGACAAUGAUCUUCCUAACGAGGAUCGUUGACGCGAAAGCGUGGUCUAGCGAACCAAUUAUCCUGCUCGAUGCGGGAAAUUGAUGACAGAAAAGCUACCUUAGGGAUAACAGAGUCGUCACGCGCAAGAGCACAUAUCGACCGCGUGGCUUGCUACCUCGAUGUCGGUUCCCUCCAUCCUGCCCGUGCAGAAGCGGGCAAGGGUGAGGUUGUUCGCCUAUUAAAGGAGGUCGUGAGCUGGGUUUAGACCGUCGUGAGACAGGUCGGCUGCUAUCUAUUGGGGGUGCUAUGGCACCUGACGUGAACGUUCGUAUAGUACGAGAGGAACUACGAAUGGUGACCACUGGUGUACCGGUUGUCCGAGAGGGCACGUGCCGGGCAGCUACGUCACACGGGGUAAGAGCUGAAUGCAUCUAAGCUCGAAACCCACAUGGAAAAGAGGUGCCGCUGAGACCACUCGUAGAAGACGAGUUCGAUAGACUCGGGAUGUACGCGCCAAGGCAACGAGGCGUUCAGUCCGCGAGCACUAACAGGUCAAGCCACACAAU
rnacentral:rRNA from 1 species